rnacentral:rRNA from 1 species
GAUGAACGCUGGCGGCGUGCCUAAUACAUGCCAGUCGAGCGAACAGACGAGGAGCUUGCUCCUCUGACGUUAGCGGCGGACGGGUGAGUAACACGUGGAUAACUUACCUAUAAGACGGGGAUAACUUCGGGAAACCGGAGCAAAUACCGGAUAAUAUAUUGAACCGCAUGGUUCAUUAGUAAAAGACGGUUUUGCUGUCACUUAUAGAGGGAUCCGCGCGGCAUUAGCUAGUUGGUAAGGUAACGGCUUACCAAGGCAACGAUGUGUAGCCGACCUGAGAGGGUGAUCGGCCACCCUGGAACUGAGACACGGUCCAGACUCCUACGGGAGGCAGCAGUAGGGAAUCUUCCGCAAUGGGCGAAAGCCUGACGGAGCAACGCCGCGUGAGUGAUGAAGGUCUUCGGAUCGUAAAACUCUGUUAUUAGGGAAGAACAAAUGUGUAAGUAACUAUGCACGUCUUGACGGUACCUAAUCAGAAAGCCACGGCUAACUACGUG